CUAGCCAAAGAACUGGAGCCGAUGAUUACCGUCAGAACGGUCACAUUGAUAUAUAGUAUCAACUCUAUUUUAGAGCAGCAGUGGGGAAUCUUUGACAAUGGUCUAACGACUGAUCAAGUUAUCUAUAAGAAGGGAUUUAUAAAAUAUAUAUUUAUAUAUCUUCUUUGGAAGGAAUAUAAAUAGAUAAAAGAAUAUAAAUAAAGAAUAACUAUAAACUUCUAAAUAAUUAUAAUAAUGAUAUAAUUAUGUAAUAGUCCCGACCAAAACAUGUGCCAGCAGCUGCGGUUAGACAUGGGGGGCAAGCAUUGUUCAAUAAGGCUUAAAGGUUCCGUAGAACAUAAAAUAAAAUAGAAUAAAUUAGAUUAAGUAAAAUGAAAAGGAUAUAUAUUGUUAAUAUAAUUUAGAUAUAUCUUAGACAGCCAGUAAUUUACUUAUAAUUUAUUGACGUUGUGGGAAGAAAGCUAUGGUAGCGAGAUGGAGUCGUCGACCGUUUAGUCGUAGCAGUGAACUAUGAAUACUAUAUUGAGUUUAAAUUUAAAUUUAAAUAGAAAAGUGAAAAUGAAAAGUAUUCCGCCUGACAAGUAAGCUCGCAAGAGUGAAAAACAAGACAUUAGACGGUUUUAGCUAUUAGCAGUGGAACAUGUUAUUUAAUUGGAUUAUCCACCAAAAACCUUACCAUCUUUUGAAUAUUAUAUAUAUUUUUUUAUAUAUAUAUAUUUAUAUAUAUAUAUAAAUUAUUUAUAUUUAUACAGGCGUUACAUCGUUGUCGUCAGUUCAUACUGUGAAGUUUUAUGUUAAGUUACUUAAUGAACGUAAUCCUACACCUUAUUAGGUAUUUCCUUUUUUAGAAAUUUAAUUAUAAGUUUAGGUUGAAGACUAAUCAUGAUGACCCUUAUAAGAUGGGCUAUAGACGUGUUACAA
rnacentral:rRNA from 1 species